AGCCAAGAAAACAUUGCAGACAGUGACUGAGAUGUUAUGUUUGUACUGGAUCCAGUGAAGAAAGUGUUUAUUAAGCACUUACUGAGUACACAUCGUUGGACUGUGUGCUGGGGACACAAAGGGAAACGUGGGGCAGCUCCAGCCUCAUGGAGCUUCCAUCCCAAUGAGGAGAGAGUGAGCACCUAGGGAGGGUUUCAGCUGCACGUCCCAUGGAAAGGUCCCCCGGGCUUUACUGGGCAACAGUGAAGCAGAUUCUCGUGUCUCCUUAACGUAACAUUGGGCUGUUGGACAGGCUGAGGACUUUGAGGGGAGAAUUUCCUUUUCUGGGUCCAUGGGGGCAGCUUCCCCGGGCCAGAAGCGUGGCUACCCCCAAAGCUCUCGGGUCAUGGGCUAUCAGGGUCAAGGGCACAUGGUGGUGCUUUGACUUGCCCAGUACCUGCCACCUCCUGUCUCUCCCUGGGGGUACCCCACCCCCACUUCAGCCGGCCCAGCUGGCUGUUCUCAUGUUGUUUCCCUCAUUGCAAUGGGAUGUUCUUGAAGACAGGGUCUCUUUCUGCCUUUCUUUGUAACCUCAGCCCUCAGCCCAGUGUGUGGCAUACAGUAGGUGCUUCAGCAAA